CUCCAUUAAAUUUUAUUUGGGAAGCUUACAAAGGGGGUGUUGGCCAGUGGGGCUGGAUCUGAAGGACAGGCACCAGAUGCCUUUUGCUGCAGGGUACAGCCUGGGGUAACUGGGCUCAGGGAAGGUUGCUCCGUGUAACCCACAGGCAGGGCAGGCCACUGGAGAGGGUGCAGCAUGGCGAGGGUUUGCAGGCUCUUUUCCAUGCCUGGGUGGUGUCCUGCUGAGUUACUAAACUUUGAAUGUGCGCUGCUGUAUCAAGAAAUUUCACAGUAAGACAGGGGCUGCCAGUCUGAGCCUGAAACAAAGCGGUUCCAAAAUGAGAUGAUUUGCCUUGGACAUGCUACUGCUGGCAGGGAGAAAAGCAAUGGGCAGGCAGCGAGCUCACCAAGCUGCACCAGUCGCUCCUCCGCCACCAGGCUGACCGCUGCCAACAUUGCACAACCCCUGGGGAGACGGGGUGGUAGGGUUUCCAAUUUAGAAGCUGCGUUGGAACAAGAACAGAAGAGGCACUCAGGGAUAGCAGUGCAUGAGCCAGUCACCCGUGGCUCUUGGUAGUCAACAAGAAACCUCCAGAAGGAGGAUGGGCACUGAGAGCUCAACGCAAAGAAUCAGACAGAGCCGCUUACCUCAGCC